UUCUUUAAUUGAGGACUGGAAUGAAGGGUAGAUACUAAAAGGAAAGUUUUAUUAGAUAAAUUUGAAUUUAGAUUAAAAGUAAAAAUUCUUUUAUAAAUCUUUGGGACGAGAAGACCCUAGAAGCUUAAAAUUUUUAAAAAUUUUUGAUUGGGGCAAUUAUUAAAGAUAUUAAUUUUUAAUUAUCAUAUUUAAUAUUUAAUAGUUACUCUAGGGAUAACAGCGUUAUUUAAUUAGCAAGUUCUUAUUAAUAAUUAGGUUUGCGACCUCGAUGUUGAAUUAAAUUGUACUUUAGGUGUAGAAGCUUAGAUUAAUAGUCUGUUCGACUAUUAAUAAUUUACGUGA
rnacentral:rRNA from 1 species